rnacentral:rRNA from 1 species
UACAGAGGUCCCGAGCGUUGUUCGGAUUCACUGGGCGUAAAGGGCGCGUAGGUGGUUCGGUAAGUCUGAUGUGAAAUCCCAAAGCUUAACUUUGGAACUGCAUCGGAAACUACCGGGCUAGAGUCUGGGAGGGGGAAAUGGAAUUCUCGGUGUAGCGGUGAAAUGCGUAGAUAUCGAGAGGAACACCGGUGGCGAAAGCGAUUUCCUGGACCAGUACUGACACUGAGGCGCGAAAGCUAGGGGAG